AGCAGCAACACUAUGCAGUCAUGCACACUCUCUCGUGUCUGCCUCCUUUCAUCUGGGCACUGGAUUCUGCCCUGCAGUCCAUUCAUAAUUUCCUUCCCCAUUGAUUUCGAGAGAAAGGAAAAUGGAUAUACAAAUGUGGUAUAGCAGCUCAUAUAAUUAUUGCCUAAGCAUCUUUGGGAGCUACAUAUCUAUAUUAUAACUCGAAGUUUAAUCUUCAAAAAACCUACAUUGCCUCAAGAUAUAGAAGACAGAUGAAUCUAAACUUCACAAGCAAAUUAUACCAUCAGCUCCACAGGGUUCUACAGUUGAUAAUAGAGUAUCACCAAGAAGUUUGAAAGACUGAACGACAAAGGAAAGAAAAACAGUUACAAAUUGAAAAUCAUUGUGAUAACUCAAACAGACAAUACCGAUUAAUUUUAUAUGCAAACUUUGUAUCACAGUUUUGUUUAGUGUAGACUUCUCUUCAGCAACUUGUGUCUUUUUGCAGGCUCACCCUGUCAUGAAUUUUGAC